UUGGUGUGAUUACUCUUGCAGCAAGUAAAACAGCGCGUGUCUCAUACUCUGUGGGCCGGAAGUCGGGGGAGCUGAUCACUCUCCCCGACACUUUCUGUCAGUCAUUUCUGCAGUCUGUUGAUAACAAGGCUGAAUACCAUUACCCAGACGGUGGGAAAAGGUGUUGUGAACCAGGCAGGUACCAAGAGCAAGUAGAAUUAGCGAAAAUGGCACUCGACGGACGUUCCCAGCUGCAUAAGUGUAUUCUGUUUGUCAUCAAUAUCGUGUUGGGCCUUAUUGGCUUUGCAAUAAUGGUACUUGGAAUGUGGGUGAGAUUCAGCGCUCAGACAAGUGGAUUCUUCAGUGUCGAUCUGAACACGACAUCCAUUGUCACCGUGGUGACCCUGUUGAUCGUUCUUGGCCUAUUAAUGACGGUGAUCUCUGCAUUCGGGAACUAUGGAGCCUGUAAUGAGAGUAAAGGUGCCCUGACUGUGGU